GACGUAGGGGGCCAGUGUUGUUCGGAAUUACUGGGUGUAAAGGGUUCGUAGGCGGUGUGGCAAGUCGGGAGUGAAAUCUCUGGGCUCAACUCAGAGACUGCUUCCGAAACUGCUGUGCUGGAGUGUGGGAGAGGCGCGUGGAAUUGCAGGUGUAGCGGUGAAAUGCGUAGAUAUCUGCAGGAACACCCGUGGCGAAAGCGGCGCGCUGGACCACUACUGACGCUGAGGAACGAAAGCUAGGGGAGCAAACAGG
rnacentral:rRNA from 1 species